rnacentral:lncRNA from 1 species
CAUGGUUGUGCCUAUUCUCUGCCUCCUAUGGGCCAUAGCAACAGCAGUGCGACCUGCCCCAGUGGCCCCUCUCGGUGGUCCAGAGCCGGCCCAAUAUGAAGAGUUGACCCUGCUCUUUCACGGGGCCCUACAGCUAGGUCAGGCCCUCAAUGGUGUGUACAAAGCCACGGAAGCUCGCCUGACAGAAGCUGGGCGCAACCUGGGCCUUUUUGACCAAGCACUGGAAUUUCUGGGAAGAGAGGUCAAUCAGGGCCGGGAUGCAACACGGGAGCUUCGCACCAGCUUGUCGGAGAUUCAGGUGAGUACAAGAGCUGGGGUGUUGCUGGGCAGACAAGAGUCUGAGGAAAAGUUGAGCCCAGAACAAAGGAAAGUGACGUGCUGGGUGAGCAAAGCUGACCUAGUGACCUCACUGAAGCCACACCAUCUGUUGAGCAGGCAGAAGAGGACACUUUACACCUUCGAGCAGAAGCCACAGCCCGAUCGCUGAGGGAAGUGGCCCGGGCCCAGCAUGCUCUGCGGAACAGUGUACGGAGACUACAAGUGCAGCUGAGAGGUGCCUGGCUAGGCCAAGCCCACCAAGAAUUUGAGAAUUUAAAGGUAAGGGGCUCCCAGGGGCACAACCCUGCUCCCCAGAAGGAAGCCACCACUGAACCCUGGGCUAGAGGACCCUCCAGUUGUAUAUGUGGUUCCAGCCUCAGUGACCUUCUGGAAGUGACCUUUGCAAGCAAGGGUAAGAACCAGACAUGGCGGUGCUCGCCUGUGGUUCUAGAACUCCAGAGGCAGGGGCAGGAGAAAGAGAAGGUUAAAGCCAGCCUUGGCUACAAAGUUAGGCCAGCUGCCUACCUGGUGAUAUCCUGUCUCAAAAAGAACAGAAAGAUAACUGGGCACGGGGGCUACACCCGCAACCCCAGCACUUGGGGAUAAAGGGUGGGGUUAGGAGUCCAGGGUGGUUUCUGGCUAGACAGACAUCUGAGUUAAGCUUGGGGUACAUGAGACCCAGUCUCAGAAGAAGUAAAUGAAUGAAUGCAGGAUCAGCAAGGUAGUUCACAGGUACAGGCUGACAAGGCCAAUGGCCUGAGACCGAGCCCCAGGCUCCCCAGGGGGGAAGGCAAGAACCUGCUCCCAACAGUUGUCCUGACUUCCAACAUUUGUGCUAUGGCAUGCACACACGCUAGAUAAACUUUGAAGUAAAGUAAGAGUAGUGACUGUCAUUUCAGAGCAAAGGUGAGUUUCAGAGGCAGAGGGAUGGAUACAGUAAGUGCUCAAUGGAUGCUUAUUGCUCUGGCUUCUGGUGCCAUGAAGAAAGAACCCAAUCAGUAGUGUUUGACGUGCAUCUACAAACUAUACGAAGCAAGUCCUAUCUUAGACACACCUUACAAAUAGGGAAACUGAGGCAGAGGGUCUUGGACGUUUGCUGGGUCACAUGGCAGAGAAACCUGUAGUGGUCAGGAGAUGGGAGUGGACCCAGACUUCCCAGCUAAGGUCACUAUGCUACCCACAGGAUCGAGCCGAUAAGCAGAACCACCUCUUGUGGGCUCUCACUGGCCACGUGCAGCGACAGCAGCGUGAGAUGGCAGAGCAGCAACAGUGGCUGCGGCAGAUCCAGCAGAGGUGAGCCUGGUGGGUUUACUCUGGGGUGGCUAGUGGAUGUGGCCUAGGCCCACUGAAGGGCACCUCCACCCAACGCUGGCCUUGACUGAGCUCUGUCUCCCUCCCUAGACUCCACAUGGCAGCCCUCCCAGCCUGAGACUACCUGGAUGCCACUGAGGACCAGUUGUGCUGCAGGGAACACUGAAUGCGCUCCACCGGGCCUAUCUAUGAGCAGGGCCGACAGAGCUGGCUGCCCAUCAGCUAGACUUGGCCGGUGCACCCCGCUUCCUGGCAGAGCAGAGACAGAAGCAAGCAGGCGGGAUGGAAGGCAGAAGACAGCCCCGUGGAGAAGGCUGGAGAAGGACAUGAGCUCCCUUAUGCCCCACACCCCACAAUAAAAAAGAGGCAAUCUAUAAA